GAAAUAGCCCAUUAGACGAGUCACUUCAGCAACAUACCAACUACCUUGCUGGAAAUGGAAACGCUGCCACCUUCGCUUUCACGAAACAAAGAGAAGCACCAAAAGAGGUGGGGAAAGACAGAGAGGCAUACAAAGGCUCUGUGAAGGAACAGUCACUCCCAGGCAGGACUAUCAAAGAGAAAGCAGCCUUUGAGGCAGACAAAGAAAAGUAAGGCACAGCAGUAACUACUCUGUAUGCAUGUGCGAGACAGCCACAGACAAAAAACGGAAACAAGAAGAAGAAGUCUGAAAGAGGGGAAGAGAUGAGAAGACUCAAAGCAACUGAAGAUUAAGAGCAGCGUGGAAGAGGACAGGAGAGCGCUGAAUGGGAUUUGUUUUUGUGUCACUUUUCCCCUCACGUGCAUUUUUUUUCCCCCCUGAUCAGUGUCACUGGAAUUAUCCCUGUGAGCCAUAAUCUCAACCUGACUGCUAAUCUCAGGCUCGCCUGAACACUCCUCCUCUGGAAGACGUCCCCAUAACAAAUUAGCACGCUGCCGAGCAGAGGCGCUCAGCAGGCGACUCCUUCAGAGAGAUGAUGACACGCUCCUCACUGGCUCCUAACCACCGACCGGUUUUGCGAUUUCUGACGGUUUAGGCUUGGCUGAGUUUGAGCAAACGACUAAAAACUUUCAGGAGGAUGGAUGCCAGAGAAGAGACACUGACCCUCCUCAGCAGAAUCUGGGUCAAGCUUCAAGGACUGCCCAAUGCCAACCCCAUAGACCUGGGAGCUUUCUUCAUCCUGUUAACUUUUAUCCUCGUGGUCCUGCUCACCACAGUGGGGACCUGCGUGAGCUUCUGCUGCGGCUGCUGCAGCUGCUGCCGCUGCUGCUGUCGCAAGAGGAAAAUACAGGGAUCCAGCCUUUGAGUCGAAACAGACACAACUACAGGCUUUCUCUCUCUCAUGAACAAGCAAUAACUCUUUCGUCGAGGCUCCUGAUCACGUUUAAUAAACAUAUAUACAUGCAAGAAUUGUACAGGACAGUGAGCAGGACUAAAGAACUCUAACAAACCCGACAAACACAGUAAAGGAUGUCCUGAAAGGGUGCCAAACACACCUGCUUAAGCCACCAGGCUUUCAGGAGAGUCGACAUUCCUUGGAGCAUCCCUGCACUCAACAGGGCAACAACAAUGCCCGAGGACAGGGUAGGGCCAACUCCAGCUGUAUUUAAUAAUGCAGAAACUACUUGGAAUAUACAGGAUUAAACAUGUGUAUAAAAGAAAUCUUAAAGAAAGCCCAACUGUUUUUUCAGAGCUUUCCAAGCAUAAUUAUGUCUCAUUCUUAAGGAAUGAGAACUGGCAGUCAGACUCCUGGGUUAGGUAAAAGCCUCCAAAGUGGGAAGCAGCUUUCAAACGUGAAACUGUGUGACAAAGCAAGUCUGCCCUCUGCUGUACAGAAAGGUGCAUGUUACAUACUGUGGAACGGGUGAAGCCAGCAUGUUAUGACGUGAUGCUGUAACUCUGCACUUAUUGUCCUUCUUGCUUUGACUUGUAUGUAAAUAAUUAA